CGCGACAGGACGGAAAGACCCCGUGGAGCUUUACUGUAGCCUGAUAUUGAAAUUCGGCACAGCUUGUACAGGAUAGGUAGGAGCCUUUGAAACGUGAGCGCUAGCUUACGUGGAGGCGCUGGUGGGAUACUACCCUAGCUGUGUUGGCUUUCUAACCCGCACCACUUAUCGUGGUGGGAGACAGUGUCAGGCGGGCAGUUUGACUGGGGCGGUCGCCUCCUAAAAGGUAACGGAGGCGCUCAAAGGUUCCCUCAGAAUGGUUGGAAAUCAUUCAUAGAGUGUAAAGGCAUAAGGGAGCUUGACUGCGAGACCUACAAGUCGAGCAGGGUCGAAAGACGGACUUAGUGAUCCGGUGGUUCCGCAUGGAAGGGCCAUCGCUCAACGGAUAAAAGCUACCCCGGGGAUAACAGGCUUAUCUCCCCCAAGAGUUCACAUCGACGGGGAGGUUUGGCACCUCGAUGUCGGCUCAUCGCAUCCUGGGGCUGUAGUCGGUCCCAAGGGUUGGGCUGUUCGCCCAUUAAAGCGGUACGCGAGCUGGGUUCAGAACGUCGUGAGACAGUUCGGUCCCUAUCCGUCGUGGGCGUAGGAAAUUUGAGAGGAGCUGUCCUUAGUACGAGAGGACCGGGAUGGACAUACCUCUGGUGUACCAGUUGUCGUGCCAACGGCAUAGCUGGGUAGCUAUGUGUGGACGGGAUAAGUGCUGAAAGCAUCUAAGCAUGAAGCCCCCCUCAAGAUGAGAUUUCCCAACUUCGGUUAUAAGAUUCCUCAAAGAUGAUGAGGUUAAUAGGUUCGAGGUGGAAGCAUGGUGACAUGUGGAGCUGACGAAUACUAAUCGAUCGAAGAC
rnacentral:rRNA from 1 species